UGGAAGGAACAUGAUUUAUUGGGGUCUUUC
rnacentral:piRNA from 1 species